rnacentral:rRNA from 1 species
GACGAACGCUGGCGGCGUGCCUAAUACAUGCAAGUAGAACGCACAGUUUAUACCGUAGCUUGCUACACCAUAGACUGUGAGUUGCGAACGGGUGAGUAACGCGUAGGUAACCUGCCUGGUAGCGGGGGAUAACUAUUGGAAACGAUAGCUAAUACCGCAUAAUAUUAAUUAUUGCAUGAUAAUUGAUUGAAAGGUGCAAUUGCACCACUACCAGAUGGACCUGCGUUGUAUUAGCUAGUAGGUGAGGUAACGGCUCACCUAGGCGACGAUACAUAGCCGACCUGAGAGGGUGAUCGGCCACACUGGGGCUGAGACACGGCCCAGACUCCUACGGGAGGCAGCAGUAGGGAAUCUUCGGCAAUGGACGAAAGUCUGACCGAGCAACGCCGCGUGAGUGAAGAAGGUUUUCGGAUCGUAAAGCUCUGUUGUAAGAGAAGAACGGGUGUGAGAGUGGAAAGUUCACACUGUGACGGUAUCUUACCAGAAAGGGACGGCUAACUACGUGCCAGCAGCCGCGGUAAUACGUAGGUCCCGAGCGUUGUCCGGAUUUAUUGGGCGUAAAGCGAGCGCAGGCGGUUAGAUAAGUCUGAAGUUAAAGGCUGUGGCUUAACCAUAGUACGCUUUGGAAACUGUUUAACUUGAGUGCAGAAGGGGAGAGUGGAAUUCCAUGUGUAGCGGUGAAAUGCGUAGAUAUAUGGAGGAACACCGGUGGCGAAAGCGGCUCUCUGGUCUGUAACUGACGCUGAGGCUCGAAAGCGUGGGGAGCGAACAGG